ensembl:lncRNA LINC01727 long intergenic non-protein coding RNA 1727
GUUCAGAUAGAUUUAGCUGGUGGUGCAGAGAUCCGUGAGCUUGCUUUUACAGGACUUUAAUGAUAUAUAAAAGCAGCACGAGGUGCUCCUGACUGUGGAUUAAUUUGGAGAUGACUUUCUCUGUUGAAGAGUAGCAAGACUCUCGCGAGUUCUUAAAAAUGCACUUGUUUGGUAUGAGAAUGAAAAGCAGUGGCUGAAGAACCAAUCUUCAAUGGGCAAGCCUUCUCUGAUGCCUUGUUGGUGGUAUAGUGUGAAUCCAUUAGCACUGAACUCAGGACCAGCAAUGGUGUGACUCAGGCCUGAAGGAAGCUUUUCUAGCACAUGGAUUUCCUCUGUAAGGCACCUCACAGCCUCUCGUGCCUGGGAACUCUAGCCAGCACUGUAGCACGAUGCCUAGGGCCAUUAUAAAUGUGAAAUCACCAAAGAAACCCCACAAAAAUGUGAAAAUCACGGCACUAAAUAGACCACAAAAAGGAUGCUUGUUUGACUGCAAACAAGUAUGAGAACUGGAACCAGAAAGUAGGAUGUCAUCUUGUUCUUCCUUAGCACUGGAUGACUCAAAUUUCUCUCCACUCUGCCAGUGUCUUUGAAUGACCAGGAAAUUGCUGGGAAUAUUGAUUUUGGGAUAACAAAUAAAUUUUAUCGACUAGCUGAAUUUGCAAA